rnacentral:rRNA from 1 species
UACGUAGGUGGCAAGCGUUGUCCGGAUUUACUGGGCGUAAAGAGCGCGCAGGCGGUCGUUCAAGUCGCGUGUGAAAGCCCCCGGCUCAACUGGGGAGGGUCACGCGAUACUGUUCGACUUGAAGGCAGGAGAGGGAAGUGGAAUUCCCGGUGUAGUGGUGAAAUGCGUAGAUAUCGGGAGGAACACCAGUGGCGAAGGCGACUUCCUGGCCUGUUCUUGACGCUGAGGCGCGAAAGCUAGGGUAGCAAACGGG